GAUGAACGCUAGCGGCAGGCCUAACACAUGCAAGUCGAGGGGGAAGUUACUUUCGGGUGACUGAGACCGGCGUACGGGUGCGUAACGCGUAUACAAUCUGCCUUUCACUGGGGGAUAGCCCGAAGAAAUUUGGAUUAAUACCCCAUAGUAUAUAGGGACGGCAUCGUUUUUAUAUUAAAGCUUAGGUGGUGAAAGAUGAGUAUGCGUUCUAUUAGCUAGUUGGAGAGGUAACGGCUCCCCAAGGCGAUGAUAGAUAGGGGUUCUGAGAGGGAUGUCCCCCACACUGGUACUGAGAUACGGACCAGACUCCUACGGGAGGCAGCAGUGAGGAAUAUUGGACAAUGGUCGGAAGACUGAUCCAGCCAUGCCGCGUGCAGGAUGAAGGUCUUAUGGAUUGUAAACUGCUUUUGUAAGGGAAGAAUAAGGGCCACGCGUAGUUUGAUGACGGUACCUUACGAAUAAGCAUCGGCUAACUCCGUG
rnacentral:rRNA from 1 species